GACGUAGGGCGCGAGCGUUGUCCGGAUUUAUUGGGCGUAAAGAGCUCGUAGGCGGCUUGUUGCGUCGACUGUGAAAACCCGCGGCUUAACUGCGGGCUUGCAGUUGAUACGGGCAGGCUAGAGUUCGGUAGGGGAGACUGGAAUUCCUGGUGUAGCGGUGAAAUGCGUAGAUAUCUGGAGGAACACCGGUGGCGAAGGCGGCAUCCUGGACCAAUAUUGACGCUGAGGAGCGAAAGCCAGGGGAGCAAACGGG
rnacentral:rRNA from 1 species